rnacentral:rRNA from 1 species
GACGAACGCUGGCGGCGUGCUUAACACAUGCAAGUCGAACGGACAGACAGAGAGCUUGCUCUCUUGAAGUUAGUGGCGAACGGGUGAGUAACGCGUAAUCAACCUGCCCUUCAGGGGGGGAUAACAACGGGAAACCGUUGCUAAUACCGCGUACGAUUCAUGAACGGCAUCGUUUAUGAAUGAAAGGUGGCCUCUAUGUAUAAGCUAUCGCUGAAGGAGGGGAUUGCGUCUGAUUAGCUAGUUGGAGGGGUAACGGCCCACCAAGGCAAUGGUCAGUAGCCGGUCUGAGAGGAUGAACGGCCACAUUGGGACUGAGACACGGCCCAAACUCCUACGGGAGGCAGCAGUGGGGAAUCUUCCGCAAUGGACGAAAGUCUGACGGAGCAACGCCGCGUGAGUGAUGAAGGUCUUCGGAUUGUAAAGCUCUGUUAAUCGGGACGAAAGAGUUCUGCGUGAAUAAUGCAGAAAAGUGACGGUACCGGAAUAGAAAGCCACGGCUAACUACGUGCCAGCAGCCGCAGUAA